UACGAAGGGGGCUAGCGUUGCUCGGAAUUACUGGGCGUAAAGCGCACGUAGGCGGGUUCUUAAGUCGGUGGUGAAAUCCUGGAGCUCAACUCCAGAACUGCCUUCGAUACUGGGAAUCUUGAGUCCGGGAGAGGUGAGUGGAACUGCGAGUGUAGAGGUGAAAUUCGUAGAUAUUCGCAAGAACACCAGUGGCGAAGGCGGCUCACUGGCCCGGUACUGACGCUGAGGUGCGAAAG
rnacentral:rRNA from 1 species